rnacentral:rRNA from 1 species
UACAGAGGUGGCAAGCGUUGUUCGGAAUUACUGGGCGUAAAGGGCGCGUAGGCGGCCUUCUAAGUCAGACGUGAAAUCCCCCGGCUUAACCUGGGAACUGCGUCUGAUACUGGAAGGCUUGAGUUUGGGAGAGGGAUGCAGAAUUCCAGGUGUAGCGGUGAAAUGCGUAGAUAUCUGGAGGAAUACCGGUGGCGAAGGCGGCAUCCUGGACCAACACUGACGCUGAGGCGCGAAAGCUAGGGGAGCAAACGGG